rnacentral:rRNA from 1 species
UGGGGAAUAUUGGACAAUGGGCGAAAGCCUGAUCCAGCAAUGCCGCGUGAGUGAUGAAGGCCUUAGGGUUGUAAAGCUCUUUUACCCGGGAUGAUAAUGACAGUACCGGGAGAAUAAGCUCCGGCUAACUCCGUGCCAGCAGCCGCGGUAAUACGGAGGGAGCUAGCGUUGUUCGGAAUUACUGGGCGUAAAGCGUACGUAGGCGGUUACUCAAGUCAGAGGUGAAAGCCCGGAGCUCAACUCCGGAAUUGCCUUUAAGACUGCAUCGCUUGAAUCCGGGAGAGGUGAGUGGAAUUCCGAGUGUAGAGGUGAAAUUCGUAGAUAUUCGGAAGAACACCAGUGGCGAAGGCGGCUCACUGGACCGGUAUUGACGCUGAGGUGCGAAAGCGUGGGGAGCAAA